rnacentral:rRNA from 1 species
UACGGGGGGGGCAAGCGUUGUUCGGAAUUACUGGGCGUAAAGGGCUCGUAGGCGGCCAACUAAGUCACACGUGAAAUCCCACGGCUCAACCGUGGAACUGCGUGUGAGACUGGAUGGCUUGAGUUUGGGAGAGGAAUGCGGAAUUCCAGGUGUAGCGGUGAAAUGCGUAGAUAUCUGGAGGAACACCGGUGGCGAAGGCGGCAUUCUGGACCAACACUGACGCUGAGGAGCGAAAGCCAGGGGAGCAAACGGG